rnacentral:other from 1 species
UACAUCCUGCGGUGCUCGUUAUGGCUUAACGUGUUUUGAACCAAUGGCUGUUUCACGGGAGUUCAACAUCGGCGGGCGGCUGACAUGCCUUCAUUUUAUGGAGGAUCUCAAAACCCUUCCUGAGGACACCCACCUGCGAGAGCGGG